GGGGCUGUAGCUCAGCUGGAAGAGCGCGACACUGGCAGUGUUGAGGCCACGGGUUCGAGUCCCGUCAGCUCCA
rnacentral:tRNA from 2 species